rnacentral:rRNA from 1 species
GGCAGUAGGGCAGCAUGCAGUCGAGCGGAUGACGGGAGCUUGCUCCUUGAUUAGCGGCGGACGGGUGAGUAAUGCCUAGGAAUCUGCCUGGUAGUGGGGGACAACGUUUCGAAAGGAACGCUAAUACCGCAUACGUCCUACGGGAGAAAGCAGGGGACCUUCGGGCCUUGCGCUAUCAGAUGAGCCUAGGUCGGAUUAGCUAGUUGGUGGGGUAAUGGCUCACCAAGGCGACGAUCCGUAACUGGUCUGAGAGGAUGAUCAGUCACACUGGAACUGAGACACGGUCCAGACUCCUACGGGAGGCAGCAGUGGGGAAUAUUGGACAAUGGGCGAAAGCCUGAUCCAGCCAUGCCGCGUGUGUGAAGAAGGUCUUCGGAUUGUAAAGCACUUUAAGUUGGGAGGAAGGGCAGUAAGCUAAUACCUUGCUGUUUUGACGUUACCGACAGAAUAAGCACCGGCUAACUCUGUGCCAGCAGCCGCGGUAAUACAGAGGGUGCAAGCGUUAAUCGGAAUUACUGGGCGUAAAGCGCGCGUAGGUGGUUCGUUAAGUUGGAUGUGAAAGCCCCGGGCUCAACCUGGGAACUGCAUCCAAAACUGGCGAGCUAGAGUACGGUAGAGGGUGGUGGAAUUUCCUGUGUAGCGGUGAAAUGCGUAGAUAUAGGAAGGAACACCAGUGGCGAAGGCGACCACCUGGACUGAUACUGACACUGAGGUGCGAAAGCGUGGGGAGCAAACAGGAUUAGAUACC